rnacentral:misc_RNA from 1 species
AAGUCGUAACAAGGUUUCCGUAGGUGAACCUGCGGAAGGAUCAUUAACAUCUGUUUUUGGAAUGUGGUGGUGUUUUUUCUCUUAGGAGAAGAGCAUUGCCCAUCUACCCCAUUGUGUGCAUGUCUGUGUGUGUUGUGUUGUGAGUAGGUAAAGCUUCGGCUUAGCCUUCACCUCACCUCACCUCACUCAUCUCAUUUAUACAACCCCAAACCCCUUCUUCUCAUCACACUAGACUGACUUUCAAUCCUCGUUUUCGCUCCCUACCAACGGAGCAAAACAUCAAUCAGCAUACAACUCUUAGCAACGGAUAUCUAGGCUCUC